rnacentral:rRNA from 1 species
UUCGAUACUGGUGAGCUAGAGUAUGGGAGAGGAUGGUAGAAUUCCAGGUGUAGCGGUGAAAUGCGUAGAGAUCUGGAGGAAUACCGAUGGCGAAGGCAGCCAUCUGGCCUAAUACUGACGCUGAGGUGCGAAAGCAUGGGGAGCAAACAGGAUUAGAUACCCUGGUAGUCCAUGCCGUAAACGAUGUCUACUAGCCGUUGGGGCCUUUGAGGCUUUAGUGGCGCAGCUAACGCGAUAAGUAGACCGCCUGGGGAG